GAUGAACGCUGGCGGCGUGCCUAAUACAUGCAAGUCGAGCGAACGGACGAGAAGCUUGCUUUUCUGAUGUUAGCGGCGGACGGGUGAGUAACACGUGGAUAGCCUACCUAUAAGACUGGGAUAACUUCGGGAAACCGGAGCUAAUACCGGAUAAUAUUUUGAACCGCAUGGUUCAAAAGUGAAAGACGGUCUUGCUGUCACUUAUAGAUGGAUCCGCGCUGCAUUAGCUAGUUGGUAAGGUAACGGCUUACCAAGGCAACGAUGCAUAGCCGACCUGAGAGGGUGAUCGGCCACACUGGAACUGAGACACGGUCCAGACUCCUACGGGAGGCAGCAGUAGGGAAUCUUCCGCAAUGGGCGAAAGCCUGACGGAGCAACGCCGCGUGAGUGAUGAAGGUCUUCGGAUCGUAAAACUCUGUUAUUAGGGAAGAACAUAUGUGUAAGUAACUGUGCACAUCUUGACGGUACCUAAUCAGAAAGCCACGUCUAACUACGUG
rnacentral:rRNA from 1 species